AUACUUUUGUAGAUAAUUAGCUGGAGUUUUUAAAGAAAAAUCUACAAACUAAAUCAUUAUGGACCUGUUCGUUUAUUAAUCGCUGCGACAACGACAACGACUCCGACAAAAGCAAAAAUUAUAACGGAGAUACAAAAACAGUCGCUCAAUAUGGACGCCGGCGAUGUCCCUAGUGAAGAUGUUGAGUCGCUGUUAUUUUAGGCGACACAUGUAUAUGCCUUAUAGGUCGCUGUUUUUAAAAUCGAGCGACUCCUCUCCAUAUAACUCUCUACAGAAUUCAAUGUAAUUGUGUAUUAAACAACUGUUUUUGUGGUCGCUGGAUCUGAUCGCAGCGUCUGGAAAAAGAACAGGGCCUAUAUCAAUGCUAAAGAAAGAGAAU
rnacentral:sRNA from 1 species